AACAUGCUUCCUUAGAUCCACCUUUGUGGAUGAAUCUUGAACUGAGUUCCACUUGUAAACUUCUUGUUUCUUGUGGUUCCAGUAGUCAAAGAAACAUCCAGCAACUUUUUUGGUUGUAUAGUCAAAGGUGCUUGAGUCAUUGGCAUGUAAGAGAAAUAUACCUGCAUGUUAGUCUAACGUAUCUGAUAGAAAUGACAUGCAUUUACUGGCCAUUUGUUACUAUCAGGACUCGACUCGUGUGCGGACAUU
rnacentral:snoRNA from 10 species